UUUACCUUUUCUCCAUUUUCAUAAACUGCUACCUCCGCGUGCCUGCAGCACUGUUGGCCACAGGUUAAUAUCUCUCCAUUCCUUUUUUCCCUUUUGUCCCCGUUUGGCAGCGACUUCGUUGCUUCAGAUUGAACCCAUCUCAAAUUUCUGCUCCUGCAUCGGCGUUGCAGCUGUACAAGGUUUCAUCUGGACUCUUUUUGAUCUUGCAAGUUCUUCUGUGAGUAAGGCUUUGUAGAUUCUGCAUUACCGCAACCGCAUAACUCUCCAAAAGGUCUCUCUCCCUCUUUUUUUCUCAUAAUCUGCAUGGUUUUCUACGCGAUUUUCCCUGUUGGACCGAGAAAAUCGAGCAUUUCUGAGGAAGGAACGGGGAAGAGGUGAACUCUUACUCCAGUUUUUUCGUUUUCCUGUAACGUCGCCGCCCUCUCUCUCUCUCUCGUUCACCAUAGAAGGAACGGGGAAGAAGACAUGGAAAAUUUUUAAAAACCGACUUCCACAUUUCCCAUGUGGUACUGAAAAAAGGGGAAAUAAGAAAAAUACAGAAGCUGCAGAGCAGGAAUUCAUUUGAAGAAUGCCAUGAAAUCGAGCAUUUCUGAGCAAGACAUUUUCACUGGGGAAACCCGGAACCUUCUGUUCAGACUUGUUACGUCCGUCGGUUCUAGGGUUGGACUUCCAGGCGAUGUAUGUUUUUUCAUCAACGUCCACUUUUGGUUGUGUAAAAGUUACACAGCAGCAUAAGGAACAAUAGUUCCUGUUUCAUGUUUAUUUACAAUUUUUAGGCCUAUUUACUAUUUUACUGCCUGAAAAUUGCAGUCACAGUCCUAUACUUCAAAACGCAAUAAUGUUUUAUGCUGCAAUGAAAACGAUUGUUUUUUAUGCUGUAACUUUUAAACCCUUGAGAAAGAGAUGUCCACGACUAAAAGUGGACUUGAUGAAGAAACACACAUCCCGUGGACUUAUGAAAAAGCGCACAUCCCGUGGAAGCUUUUGAUGGGAAUUGAAAGUGCAGGAAUAGAUGGAACAGAUGCCGAUAAAGGGAGAUGGUGGGGGACAGGAGAAGAGUAUUCCACCAGAUAAAGCAAAGGAUUUCUUAUUGAGCAUAAACGGGUUGGGACUCAAAGAGUGUUGAGUGUGUUGGCUCAAAUGUUGGCCGGAUAUGCGUGCGGCUUGGUUGGGUGCCACUGCAGCCACUACCAGAAUCACUUCAACUUCAUCUUCUGGAACUGUGAGAAAAAAAUUGUCUAUGCGACAUCCUUAGGGUGGAAUUGCAUUUAAGGGAAAAGGAAUUUUUCAUGGGUCAAUGAUAUCGUUAAAGGAAGUCAAGUGAAAGCAUGCAUAUGUAUAAGUUUUGCAAUUUUUGUCAUUCAAAUAUUUUCAAUUUUGUAACCUAGACCAGAUUAUUGAACCAGAGGAGCAUAAGAUUAGUCAA